UACGAAGGGGGCUAGCGUUGCUCGGAAUCACUGGGCGUAAAGGGUGCGUAGGCGGGUCUUUUAAGUCAGGGGUGAAAUCCUGGAGCUCAACUCCAGAACUGCCUUUGAUACUGAGGAUCUUGAGUUCGGGAGAGGUGAGUGGAACUGCGAGUGUAGAGGUGAAAUUCGUAGAUAUUCGCAAGAACACCAGUGCCGAAGGCGGCUCACUGGCCCGAUACUGACGGCUGAGGCACGAAAGCGUGGGGAGCAAACAGG
rnacentral:rRNA from 1 species